rnacentral:rRNA from 1 species
AUAGCGUAUAUUAAAGUUGUUGCAGUUAAAAAGCUCGUAGUUGGAUCUCGGGUCCGAGCUGGCGGUUCGUUUCGCGACGACACUGCCCGUCCCGGACCUACCUGCCGGUCGUCUCGUCGUGCUCUUCGCUGAGUGCGUCGAGUGGCUGGAACGUUUACUUUGAAAAAAUUAGAGUGCUCAAAGCAGGCCGUUUGCCUGAAUAACCGCGCAUGGAAUAAUGGAAUAGGACCUCGGUUCUAUUUUGUUGGUUUUCGGAACUUGAGGUAAUGAUUAAGAGGGACAGACGGGGGCAUUCGUAUUACGGUGUUAGAGGUGAAAUUCUUGGAUCGCCGUAAGACGAACUACUG